rnacentral:misc_RNA from 1 species
GACUUUUCUGUUCACUGCACUAUAUAUAUUGUUGUUUCAUCUCACUUAAUGUAUAAUAAGGUUUUUGUCUGCUUUACGGUAUUUAGACACUACUACAAGUCUGGGUUCAUGAGCAGAGAGGACGGUACCAGAUUAGUGUACAGAUUCCACUGGUCCAAAGUUCCCAGGGCAUGGCGACCCAGGGAGGUCCAGUACGAGUUUGACAGACGAUGUAGGAAACAAUACUAAUACCAAAACAUUGUAACUAAUCAGACAACACUGAAGGCUGGGGGGAUGCAAUAUUGUAACUAAACAGACAACACUGAAGGCUGGGGAAGAUGCAAUAUUGUAACUAAACUGACAACAAUGAAGGCUGGGGAGGAUGCAAUAUUGUAACUAAACUGACAAUCCAACCUACAAGGCUGGGAGAGAUGCAAUAUUACAUGUAUAUAACUUAUUUCAUGUUCGUGACUUUUCUGAGUAUUACGAGUUUGAAAAUUGUGUGCUUUAUUUUGCCAUAUCAAGUGCCAUACCAGCUGUGAGGCUGUGAAUACGUUUCCCGAGUGCCCUGUAUCAAAUAUAAACUGACAAGUGCUCGUGAAGGACUUCACCCUUCAUUUCAAUUUUAUACUUAAGUGUCUUCUAUUGAUGCAUAUUAUGUGUUUGGAGGAACUUAAUGAUUUGCUAUUUAGAUCAAAUUUAUGGAUUUGUGUAUACAUACAUAUUUAUAUAUAAUUUUAUAUUAUGCUUUAUGUAGUAAAGUCCCAUGGACAAG